rnacentral:rRNA from 1 species
AGAAUGACUCUCGGCAACGGAUAUCUAGGCUCUUGCAUCGAUGAAGAACGUAGCGAAAUGCGAUACUUGGUGUGAAUUGCAGAAUCCCGUGAACCAUCGAGUCUUUGAACGCAAGUUGCGCCCGAUGCCGUUAGGUUGAGGGCACGUCUGCCUGGGUGUCACAU